GGAAACAGACUCUGAGAUGGAGAUGAGUGUGCAGGGGUGUGUGGAGAGCUCUUGGGAAUAGCACCUUUAAAAAGGCAACAUGAACGGAGGAUUGGAAAGAGCGAAAGAGUAAUACAUCAGAAGUAGAUGUUUGCAGUGUGCUGAGUUUGACCAAAAUCAAAGCCGAAGCUGUCUAUUGGACGGGUAAAGUUUCUGCUACAAGGCGUUUUGGAAACCACAGCAGGAUCCUGCUAGGAUCACGAUGGGAUGCACAUCAGCCGAGAUCGUCCACCUGGAGAGCUGUGACUCCAUGGCACCAACUGUGGGUGGCAGGCCCACUGGGUGAGCACCAGAGGAAAUGAAGAAGUGGAAUUCUCUCAUGGGACUUGUACAUUGAGUGCAAAUAAACAGAAGACAGUCAGUGCCAACACAUCUGAU
rnacentral:lncRNA from 1 species